UCCCCGAUUUCCGGGGCAGUCUCCCAUGAGUCCCCGGCAUAACCCGCUGGCAACAUGGAACGAGGGUUGCGCUCGUUGCGGGACUUAACCCAACAUCUCACGACACGAGCUGACGACAGCCAUGCAGCAUCUGUGGUGCACCCUCGAAGGUCACACGUUUCCGUGCGCUUGCAGCACCAUGUCAAGCCCAGGUAAGGUUCUUCGCGUUGCAUCGAAUUAAACCACAUACUCCACCGCUUGUGCGGGCCCCCGUCAAUUCCUUUGAGUUUCAUCCUUGCGGACGUACUCCCCAGGUGGUGUGCUUACUGCGUUAGCUGCGACACCGACCCCGAAGGGCCAACAUCUAGCACACAUCGUUUACAGCGUGGACUAC
rnacentral:misc_RNA from 1 species